AAAAAACGACGGGUUGACAGACAAAGUUGUGUAUUCCAAACAAAAGAAAAAGAUUGUGAAAAGUAUGAUAAUUCAACAUGUGUCAAAAGUUCAUGAGGAAGAUGAAAAUAUUUAGAGGAAAAGAAAAAUGGAAACCUGCCAAGAUUUUGUGACAGUAAGUGUGAUGAGAUCUCAGGUUGGAGACGGUAAUGAUACGCUUAAAGUAUGCCCCAGAUCGACAUAGUGGAGGAGGACGAAAGAAGCUAGAAUACUAAUGAAGAUACAUGAACAUUGCUAUUUAUAGUUAUAACAAAAUAUUAAGAAUAUUGUUCCAUUUAACAUUCAGAUCUAGAUUCAGUUAUAAAAUACAAAGACAAAUAUACAAUCAGUGAGUUGGAUAGAUGAUUGAAAAAUCCCAAACUCAGAGUGAUCAGUUCAGUGGUGAUAUAAGAAAAAACACAUGCAUGGAUGUUUGCUAUAUAAAAUGUCAGUGUUAAUAUUCAAGAAGGAUUUUGUUUAACAUGCUUAAUUAAUACAUGAAGCUUUAUUAAAGUACAUACCGUCAAGUUAAAUAGUUUCAAAAAAUAUUAUGUAAAUCUUGCAUUUGUUAUAUAGUACCACAUUUCUUGUUUUGUACUUGUGAUUCCGAGUAUAAAAUAAAUUGCUAAAAUCAUAAGAAUGCUUAUUUUCAACCCUAUUAAAGAGCUUUAAAAUGAAAAAAAGAUCAUAUUCCAAAAGUUUUGAAUGAGGUUAAAUCAUGGUUAGAAAAUUUGGUCAGAUAAGGUUGGCAUAUGGUCAGAUAAUGGUCAGAAAAGGUUGGAUUAUGGUCAGAAAAAGGUUUGAUUAUGUCCAAAUAAUGGUCAGAAAAGGUUGGAUUAUGGUCAGAUAAUGGUCAGAAACGGUUGGAUUAUGGUCAGAAAAGGUUGGAUAAAGGUCAUUUUAUGACGUUGUAUAGACGUCGGUUUCUGACGUCUAAAAAACUUUCAAAUCCAACCUUCUGCCAACGUUUACCCAACGUCAGGGUCUAACGUCAGUACAACGUUGGUACAACGUCUUUUGUUUGCUGGGUA